GUGAGAGAGAGGAGAGGAGAAUUUGUUUGAGAGGAACAAGAGGGCAUCUGAAAAACAAAACAGGCGCGAUUGGAUGGAAGAAAGGCGGGAUUGGAAAAGGCGUGCCAGGACAUGUGCGCUAAGGGGAAGUUUUUCUAUUGUAAGCUCUCUCUUUUUCUCUCCAACCAUUGAGAUCACUUUGAUGGCUGAGAUGGGGCCGUAAAUAGGGGUUCGCAAAAAAGGAGUUCCCACCUGAGCCGCGUGCGGGGAAGGAUUCUUCAACGACCUGUGCAGUUCCCAAAGUCCUACAUUUGGGCUUUUAGACCAGACCAUAGGAGUAUAAAUGCAAAUGCAAAUGCUGCAGAGCUCAGUGUCAUUGGGACUGUCAGCGUCUCCGGUUCGCGUCGUCAAGUGUUCUUUGGUCGGGCUCCGAGGACCACCGUCAACGAUCCCAAUUCAAUGGCAGCAGCUGGUCCCAAGUGGGCCCAGAAGACCAUAACUCUGGGGUUGUCAUCUCAUCACCCCUCAGAUAGUGAAGGAAAUUGGCCAGGAAUUGUCAGAUUUCAACUGCGGCCUUGCACAUCUCUUUUUGCAGCACACUACUGCUUCUCUUACUAUCAAUGAGAAUGUUGACUCUGAUGUUCGUGAUGAUACAGAGACAUUCCUCAAUAGGAUAGUUCCUGAGGGGACAUCUGCACCAUGGAAGCAUACCCUUGAAGGCUCAGAUGACAUGCCGGGGCAUAUUAAAUCAUUAAUGUUUGGCUGCACACUGACGGUUCCAAUUACAAAUGGAAAGCUUAACAUGGUACCUUGGCAGGGAAUAUGGUUGUGUGAGCAUUGUGACUAUCCUACUGGGCAGAAAGUUGUGGUCACCCUUAAUGGAAUAUGAGAAGCUUAGAUGGAAGUUUCCUGUUUCUUUCAUCCAGUGUGCAAAUGAAGUUGUACUCAAAGUAUCUUCUAUGUUAAUGGGUGGGUUGGAUGUUAGCGUGCUAGCUAUUUUCUAUGUUAAUGGCAGCUUCCCUACCAGAAUUUGGUAAUAUCUUGUUACUUGUAAUGGAUUUAAGUUUUGUUAUGCAAACUUGUAGAAAAUGUAAUGGAAUUAACUUGUUACUUAUUAGCUAUUGCGACAAUAGCAGCUGCUUGCCAAUUACCAUGUAAGAAAUUUUGGAACUUCCUGGGAGUUUCUACGUCGAAACCUUGCAGGUGUAUAUAACAUCAACGGGUCAAAUUGCAGGUAUUAAAGUUACAUGAUUCUGCAGUGGGAGCCAGCCUGAUUGGUUUUUUUUUUUUUUUUUUUUUUUUUUUUUUUUGUUACAAGCGAUAGUCUAAAUUAGAGGAGAGGAGGUUUCUCACACACACACAAUCAAGAUGCCAUGGAGGUUAGAUCUCACGCACAACCAAGAUGUCUGCUCGAAAAGGGAAAAGAAAAAAAAAAA